CACAUGCAAGUCGAGCGGGUAGCACAGGGGAGCUUGCUCCCCGGGUGAGAGCGGCGGACGGGUGAGUAAUGUCUGGGAAACUGCCUGAUGGAGGGGAUAACUACUGGAAACGUAGCUAAUACCGCAUAACGUCGCAAGACCAAAGAGGGGACCUCGGGCCUCUUGCCAUCAGAUGUGCCCAGAUGGGAUUAGCUAGUAGGUGGGGUAAUGGCUCACCUAGGCGACGAUCCCUAGCUGGUCUGAGAGGAUGACCAGCCACACUGGAACUGAGACACGGUCCAGACUCCUACGGGAGGCAGCAGUGGGGAAUAUUGCACAAUGGGCGCAAGCCUGAUGCAGCCAUGCCGCGUGUGUGAAGAAGGCCUUCGGGUUGUAAAGCACUUUCAGCGAGGAGGAAGGUGGUGAGCUUAAUACGUUCAUCAAUUGACGUUACUCGCAGAAGAAGCACCGGCUAACUCCGUGCCAGCAGCCGCGGUAAUACGGAGGGUGCAAGCGUUAAUCGGAAUUACUGGGCGUAAAGCGCACGCAGGCGGUUUGUUAAGUCAGAUGUGAAAUCCCCGGGCUCAACCUGGGAACUGCAUUUGAAACUGGCAAGCUAGAGUCUCGUAGAGGGGGGUAGAAUUCCAGGUGUAGCGGUGAAAUGCGUAGAGAUCUGGAGGAAUACCGGUGGCGAAGGCGGCCCCCUGGACGAAGACUGACGCUCAGGUGCGAAAGCGUGGGGAGCAAACAGGAUUAGAUACCCUGGUAGUCCACGCUGUAAACGAUGUCGAUUUGGAGGUUGUGCCCUUGAGGCGUGGCUUCCGGAGCUAACGCGUUAAAUCGACCGCCUGGGGAGUACGGCCGCAAGGUUAAAACUCAAAUGAAUUGACGGGGGCCCGCACAAGCGGUGGAGCAUGUGGUUUAAUUCGAUGCAACGCGAAGAACCUUACCUACUCUUGACAUCCAGAGAACUUUCCAGAGAUGGAUUGGUGCCUUCGGGAACUCUGAGACAGGUGCUGCAUGGCUGUCGUCAGCUCGUGUUGUGAAAUGUUGGGUUAAGUCCCGCAACGAGGCAACCCUUAUCCUUUGUUCCAGCGGUUCGGCCGGGAACUCAAAGGAGACUGCCAGUGAUAAACUGGAGGAAGGGGGGAUGACGUCAAGUCAUCAUGGCCCUUACGAGUAGGCUACACACGUGCUACAAUGGCGUAUACAAAGAGAAGCGACCUCGCGAGAGCAAGCGGACCUCAUAAAGUACGUCGUAGUCCGGAUUGGAGUCUGCAACUCGACUCCAUGAAGUCGGAAUCGCUAGUAAUCGUAGAUCAGAAUGCUACGGUGAAUACGUUCCCGGGCCUUGUACACACCGCCCGUCACACCAUGGGAGUGGGUUGCAAAAGAAGUAGGUAGCUUAACCUUCGGGAGGGCGCUUACCCACUUUG
rnacentral:rRNA from 1 species